rnacentral:rRNA from 1 species
CACUCCUACGGGAGGCAGCAGUGGGGAAUAUUGGACAAUGGGCGCAAGCCUGAUCCAGCCAUGCCGCGUGAGUGAUGAAGGCCCUAGGGUUGUAAAGCUCUUUCACCGGUGAAGAUAAUGACGGUAACCGGAGAAGAAGCCCCGGCUAACUUCGUGCCAGCAGCCGCGGUAAUACGAAGGGGGCUAGCGUUGUUCGGAUUUACUGGGCGUAAAGCGCACGUAGGCGGACUAUUAAGUCAGGGGUGAAAUCCCGGGGCUCAACCCCGGAACUGCCUUUGAUACUGGUAGUCUUGAGUUCGAGAGAGGUGAGUGGAAUUCCGAGUGUAGAGGUGAAAUUCGUAGAUAUUCGGAGGAACACCAGUGGCGAAGGCGGCUCACUGGCUCGAUACUGACGCUGAGGUGCGAAAGCGUGGGGAGCAAACAGGAUUAGAAACCCGUGUAGUCCCA